rnacentral:lncRNA from 1 species
CCACGUCAUCCUAAUCCGCGUAAACAGAUCCGACCCAAUAACAUUCAGACAUAUGGCACAAAUCUAUUUGUCAGAAUCAUAUCAUCCGACGUCGAAUUGAUUUUCCAAAAUGAUGUCUGACACUGACAACUGAUACCGAAUCGUCUGAUUAGUGUGACAGUUUAAAGAUGACCGUAUCCGCCACAACGACAAAGCAGUCGAUCGCCCA